GGUCCGGUAGCUCAGCUGGUAGAGCAGCAGCCUUUUAAGCUGAAGGUCCUGGGUUCGAAACCCAGCCGGAUCA
rnacentral:tRNA from 1 species